ensembl:lncRNA
UCUGGUUUAGAGUUCAGGAAUAAUAUAUUGUUCGUUAAUGUUUUUUUAUACGACCUUGAUGUGAGAUAAAAAAAAAAAAAUGUUACGCGUUUUUGACGGCCAGCUAUGCAGCAUUUGUUCAAAUCAUUUCACACCUGGGCUACCUCAGGAAUAGAGAAAUGAGUGAACUAUCGCAUGAAACAGAUUCAGUUUUUCCUCAUUUAAAAAAAAUGAAUCGUCAUCGUUGAACGACGACCAUAGACUUUGGAAUCAGUCAGGUGAAAUCUGCUGCCUUGAUUUUCAACAACAACGCCAAACUGAUCAAUGUAUGCUAGGUAGCUAACAUCGCCAAACUGAUCAAUGUACGCUAGCUAGCUAACAUCGCCAAAAUGAUCAAUGUACGCUAGCUAGCUAACAUCGCCAAAAUGAUCAAUGUACGCUAGGUAGCUAACAUCGGCAAAAUGAUCAAUGUACGCUAGCUAGCAAACAUCGCCAAACUGAUCAAUGUACGCUAGCUAGCUAACAUCGGCAAAAUGAUCAAUGUACGCUAGCUAGCUAACAUCGCCAAAAUGAUCAAUGUACGCUAGCUAGCUAACAUCUCCAAAAUGAUCAAUGUACGCUAGGUAGCUAACAUCGCCAAAAUGAUCAAUGUACGCUAGCUAGCUAACAUCGCCAAACUGAUCAAUGUACGCUAGCUAGCUAACAUCGGCAAAAUGAUCAAUGUACGCUAGCUAGCUAACAUCGGCAAAAUGAUCAAUGUACGCUAGGUAGCUAACAUCGGCAAAAUGAUCAAUGUACGCUAGGUAGCUAACAUCGCCAAAAUGAUCUAUGUACGCUAGGUAGCUAACAUCGCCAAAAUGAUCAAUGUACGCUAGCUAGCUAACAUCUGCAAAAUGAUCAAUGUACGCUAGCUAGCUCAGGGACUUUUUCUGCAGAUUGUCUUGAAUAGUUUAAAUAGUUCAGAUAUAUCUCUGCUUGAUAAUUUCAUUGCCACAACUGCUAUGAAAGUAUUGAACACACUAAUGCCCCCAAUCCUAACUCCACUUUCAUUCAUCAUGCCGUCAAUUCAUAGAAAGAAUGUUAGGAUUCAGGCCCACGGUGAGUUAUGAUCUGUUGUCCACAACUGAAAUAGUAGUGUGUUUUAUUAUAUACACUG